rnacentral:rRNA from 1 species
AGGUCAAGCUAAUAAGGGCUAACGGUGGAUACCUAGGCACACGGAAGCGAAGAAGGACGUAGUUACCGACGAAACGCUUCGGGGAGCGGGAAGCAAGCAUUGAUCCGAAGAUAUCCGAAUGGGGCAACCCUAAACACGACCACCUGAAUACAUAGGGUGGAGCGAGCAAACCUGGUGAACUGAAACAUCUUAGUAGCCAGAGGAAAAGAAAGCAACAGCGAUUCCCCCAGUAGCGGCGAGCGAAAAGGGAACAGCCUAAACCAAGUUCUGCGGAACUUGGGGUCGUGGGACAGUGACAAAAGACUGGGAAAUUUAGACGAAGCGGCUGAAAACCG